rnacentral:lncRNA from 1 species
AGGAGUUUAUUUAGCAGAUGAAGCAAGACAGCUUUUUCACAAAUGGAACUGAGUUAAAACUCAGACUAAGUGAGACAAUUUCAGUUAAUUUACCUCAGAAUAAAGACCACUUCAAUACCAUAAAAAAUAUAUAUGCAUAUCUUUUGAAUAAAUAUAUCUUUCAGAGUAUCUGUCUACUGAAUAAGUGUUGUGACAGGAAAAAAAUUCCUCACAUGAAUAUUCGUAAAGUAUGUGCAAUAAAUGAAACUACUUGUGAAGUACUUGCUUUUAACACUACUGUCAUCAACAUUUUAACUAAAAUAGUCAUUGUCAGUUCUUGUUGUCAUCAAAAUUGUGAUUCCUAUGAUAGAGACUGGUUUUGUGUUUUCUGAUGCUGAUUUGUUAGAGAGGAAAUUCCUGAUUUUUUCCAAUUCCAGGUCAAGCAUGUAUAAGUGUCUUGCUGUGCCCUCAGCUUUCCUUAUGCAGUUUGCUUUUUUCUAAUCCAACUUUAGUUCUAAAGCAACUCAGAGAGAGGUAAAGAACAUCUUUGUAAAAUUUUACAUUCACCACAAGUGGAAUGUGCACUUUGUAGUCCACCAAAGAAUCAGAAAUAUGCAAAACUUCUUUUGGGUAUUUUACAAAAUCAUCACAAUUCUUAGGCUGUUGCUUUUGCGAAUAAGUUAACGUUUGUCAUUGUGUUCGGGUCGUUCCAAACCUUUUAUCUACUCCAGAUUUGAAUGAACAGCCCAGAAAUUAUCCAGGAGAAAAUUCAAUAACUUUUAAUUAAUUUUGCAUGGCCUGGAGAAAUAGAGAAAUUGCAAGUAACCAGUAAUGUUGCCUGUGUAGGCUGAGUCUCAAAGGUUGACCAGCUCACCCAUUUCAAAGGUAUUUAAAUCCAUUCCCCUCCUAAAGGAACUCAUUCUUAGGGCUGUCUGAUUACCCCUAAAUGCCUCAGUUAAGAUGCCCUUCUGUUUUAGCCUUCAUUAUUCUUUCAGAAGUUGGCAACAUCCUGUACACAUUUUUCUUUCUCCUUACUUGUUUAGAAAACAUUUUUUUUUUGAGAACCAAAUUAGUACACUUACCUCAAUUUUAAGAAUACACACGUAGACUCAUACAAUGAAGUAUGUAAUUACUCUGGUUUUAGGAAGAACAUAUACAGUUUCCCUUUAACUUAAUUCAAUAAACUUCUGUUUAUAUCAGCUUUGUUCAGGGCAGGGUUUUAAAGGCAUGCACAAGGAAAAAGGAUGCCAUGACCCUGAUUCCAAAAGAUGUAGUCCAGUGGGUGGAUGGCAUUCAUAACUAAGCGCAUCACGGUAUAUAGGAUGUGAGAAAUAGGAGAGGAGAGGUAAGAAAGUAUAAGAACACGUUAGAGAAUCAGGAAGAGUUUGCAGUCUGUGCCUUAUCAGACAAAUCUUUAUUAGUCAAAAAUUGAAAGUUGAAGGGUGUUAUAGCACACUUCCAUUAAGUCUCAGUUCUCUUAAUUAAGGUAUGCUGGAGGUGCUUUUGAAUGAAUACAGAGGUUUAAAUAGUUUUCUUCUGUAAAUGUUUAGGAUGUGAAUUCUAAGACAAGGGGACCUAGGAUUUAAAAGCAACACUCAGAAGUAAAGUCAAAUCAAAGAUCCUCCAAAUUAAGAAUAAGUUUUAAAUAAAUUAAAAAUAUGUUUAAAAUCCCUGACCUAAUGUAUAUAAUUCACAACUUCAGUUUAUGGUACAUUAAUGUGGAAUAUCCUCCAUUUAUGAAUAGAUAUUUUUCCAAAUAAUUCUUGUUGAUUUUUUAGCACCCAUCUAUCUUAGGGAAGUGUUUUUCUAAGGGUGGUUCCUGGACCAGGUAGGGCAGAAUUCCUUGGGAGGUGCUUAUUGAAUCAGAAACUCUAGAGCUGGAAACCUAGGAUCUGUGUUGUAACUGUGUUCCAUCCCAGGGAGACUUUAUAUCUGCCAGAGUUCAAUACCAUGGUCUCAGAUUAUAUAAUUUGUUCAGAAAAGUAGUAGAAUUAUAUUUGUUUUCAUAUAUUUCUUGACACAUUUUCACAGACAUACUUCUCCCCUGCUAUUUCUAUUUAGAAUUUCACUAACCUGUUCUAUUUUUCUCUGUAAUGCCCCUUUAUUAAAUAUUGAGUAGAUUGUCUAGACAUCAUUAAAUCACAAAUUCAAAUAUUUUGUAAAAGAAAAUCAAAACAGGAGUUCUCUUGUGGCAUAGCAGGUUGAGGAUGUGGCAUUGUCACUGCAGCAGCCUAGGUGGCUGCUGUGGUGCGGGCUUGAUGCCUGGCCCGAGAAUUUACGUGUGUCACCAGUGUGG